UUUGUUCCCUCCAAAUGCCAUUCAGUUCCCCCGAUCUUCAUUUUAUCAGAACAUCCCGCCAUCUCCUUCCAUUCCCUGAGGACGUGGAGUCGAGCUCCCCUUCUCUCCGCUCUCUUUCAUCUCCACCAAUGAAGACUAGUCCACUCUCCAAGCGGCCACUAGCCUAUGGAGCUUAAGUGCCAGUAUUAGCCACGAAGCGUCAAUAAUAUUCCAGAGCUUAUAUCGACUUUAUGUAGCUGGAUAAUGCCAUUGACUUUGCAGAGUUCUUUGAUGCACCUUCACAGCACAGUCCAAAGCAAUGAUCUAAAAAAGACGGCCGUGAAGGGACAAUAUGGAAAGGCAAUUUCUACUAUUCCAGUUGCAAGUAUGAGUUUAAGUCGUCGGUUUGGGUUGUAAAUAUGAAUUGAAGAGUUUGUGUGGGUUGCAAGUAUGAAGACGUCGGUUCGGAAAGUUAUUGUUUAUCACUUUUUUUAGAGAUAUAUGUAUUUUUGUUACUUUGAAACUUUUGUAAUUUCGUGUUACCUUGAAACCUUUGUAAUUUAUAUUCUUCGAUUAUUUUAUAUUGGUUUUAAUUUAA